GGUUGUGGCUCAGUGGUAGAGCACUUGCCUAGCACAUGUGAGGCAAUGGGUUCAAUCCUCAGCAACACA
rnacentral:tRNA from 1 species